GUGACGGUGCCAUCCAUAAGAAGGACAUCCCAAAACUCUCUCACCUUCGUGCUACCACGUCGAGCUCAGGUCCUGCUAUAGAGCGUCGCCCACAGCCUGGGCUGCACAUGCUCCAUCAACUCGAGGCCAAUGCCAUGCUUCGAGAGGAGGAAGCCAUGAAAAUGCAGCAGGCCCUGUUUCAACAGCAAGAAUUCAUGGUUAAACAACAGGCAAUCCUGCAGGAGACAUUUGCUCAACUCAUAAAUAAUAUGCAGGGUUCCAUUUUGCCCGUUCUUCCUCCUCUUCCGACUCUUCCUAAUUUCAACUUUUUUUCUCAGUCGGGACAAGGCUCCAAUAACUGUGUGGUAGGUGGAUCUUCACCUGGCCAAGCAAGUCCAGUGACACCCACUACGGUUCAUGUCGCUUCGACCUCCCCGCAACAAUGAUCACUUGAGGUUUGCAUUGUGGAUGGCGUUGACGGUGGGCAUAUAUGCUGCGGUGGAGCUCACUGCAUGGUUCAUGCUUGGUGUGAACUUGGAACUCAUGAUCCUUUAAUUUGUGAACCUCUGGUUGCAUAUGUAUGUAUGUUGUUGUGAACCUUCGUUGGAUAUGUAUGCACUGUGUGGACCUGAAACUUACGGUCCUUUCGUUUGUGAUCUUUUG